GAUGAACGCUGGCGGCGUGCCUAAUACAUGCAAGUCGAGCGAACGGACGAGAAGCUUGCUUCUCUGAUGUUAGCGGCGGACGGGUGAGUAACACGUGGAUAACCUACCUAUAAGACUGGGAUAACUUCGGGAAACCGGAGCUAAUACCGGAUAAUAUUUUGAACCGCAUGGUUCAAAAGUGAAAGACGGUCUUGCUGUCACUUAUAGAUGGAUCCGCGCUGCAUUAGCUAGUUGGUAAGGUAACGGCUUACCAAGGCAACGAUGCAUAGCCGACCUGAGAGGGUGAUCGGCCACACUGGAACUGAUACACGGUCCAGACUCCUACGGGAGGCAGCAGUAGGGAGUCUUCCGCAAUGGGCGAAAGCCUGACGGAGCAACGCCGCGUGAGUGAUGAAGGUCUUCGGAUCGUAAAACUCUGUUAUUAGGGAAGAACAUAUGUGUAAGUAACUGUGCACAUCUUGACGGUACCUAAUCAGAAAGCCACGGCUAACUACGUG
rnacentral:rRNA from 1 species